rnacentral:miRNA from 1 species
CUUGCAUAUGCCAGGAGCUUC